rnacentral:misc_RNA from 1 species
UUAAUUAAUCCUCAAGAGGAAUUGAUUACUUGGGAAAUAUCUUUGAUAGAUCUAUUAUAUUUCAUGUGACUUUUAACUAGUUGGCCAGCAGAGAUAGCUGACAUGAGAGAUAGCUCACCAGCUAGAACAGAACCAGCUACUAUUGUGGCCAACAGUCUUGCAUUUGAACCUGGUGCAUCUCUAUUUGCACCUUUAACUCCUAGUAAGUUCAAGCAAGCUGACUGUGAUGCAAGUUGAGUUCCACCACCUACGGUACCAACCUCAAUAGAAGGCAUAGUUACUGAAAUAUGGA